rnacentral:rRNA from 1 species
AUUGAACGCUGGCGGCAGGCCUAACACAUGCAAGUCGAAUGGUAACAGGAAACAGCUUGCUGUUUCGCUGACGAGUGGCGGACGUGUGAGUAAUGUCUGGGAAACUGCCUGAUGGAGGGGGAUAACUACUGGAAACGGUAGCUAAUACCGCAUAACGUCGCAAGACCAAAGAGGGGGACCUUCGGGCCUCUUGCCAUCAGAUGUGCCCAGAUGGGAUUAGCUAGUAGGUGGGGUAACGGCUCACCUAGGCGACGAUCCCUAGCUGGUCUGAGAGGAUGACCAGCCACACUGGAACUGAGACACGGUCCAGACUCCUACGGGAGGCAGCAGUGGGGAAUAUUGAACAAUGGGCGCAAGCCUGAUGCAGCCAUGCCGCGUGUAUGAAGAAGGCCUUCGGGUUGUAAAGUACUUUCAGCGGGGAGGAAGGGAGUAAAGUUAAUACCUUUGCUCAUUGACGUUACCCGCAGAAGAAGCACCGGCUAACUCCGUG